UGUGCAUGCUAUUUUAUGGAUAUAUAAAUUAAUUUUGUGUAGCAGUUUGUAACGCGGGCCAGGAUUUAUUCAUUUUAAUUAGUUGCAUGCUAAAAUACACUGUGUGUGUGUGUGUGUGUGUGUGUGUGUGUGUGUAUGCACACACACACACACAA